rnacentral:misc_RNA from 1 species
GAUGAAGAACGUAGCGAAAUGCGAUAAGUAAUGUGAAUUGCAGAAUUCAGUGAAUCAUCGAAUCUUUGAACGCACAUUGCGCCCGCCAGUAUUCUGGCGAGCAUGCCUGUUCGAGCGUCAUUUCAACCAUCAAGCCCCAGGCUUGUGUUGGAGCCCUUCGGCUGCCGCAGCCUCCCAAAACCAGUGGCGGGCUCGCUAUCACACCGAGUGCAGUAGUUUACUCUUCGCUCAGGGCGUGUGGCGGGUGCUAGCCGUGAAACCCCCAACUUCUCAAGGUUGACCUCGGAUCAGGUAGGAAUACCCGCUGAACUUAAGCAUAUCAAUAAGCGGAGGA